AUUGAUCCUAACUUUGCUAGUCUAGCAGGUUUUGAGAAGCCCAUAUUACAUGGAUUAUGUACAUUUGGAUUUUCUGCCAGGCAUGUUUUACAGCAGUUUGCAGAUAAUGAUGUAUCAAGAUUCAAGGCAAUUAAGGCUCGUUUUGCAAAACCAGUAUAUCCAGGACAAACUCUACAAACUGAGAUGUGGAAGGAAGGAAACAGAAUUCAUUUUCAAACCAAGGUCCAAGAAACUGGAGACAUUGUCAUUUCAAAUGCAUAUGUGGAUCUUGCACCAACAUCUGAUGCUUCAGCUAAGACACCCUCUGAGGCAUUCUUUAGUGGCAGACUGAAGGCCAGAGGGAACAUCAUGCUGAGCCAGAAACUUCAGAUGAUUCUUAAAGACUAUGCCAAGCUCUGAAGGGCACACUACACUAUUAAUAAAAAUGGAAUCAUUAAAUACUCUCUUCACCCAAAUAUGCUUGAUUAUUCUGCAAAAGUGAUUAGAACUAAGAUGCAGGGGAAAUUGGUUAACAUUUUCAGAUAUCAGAUAACUGCAGAUUUCCAUUUUCUACUAAUUUUUCAUGUAUCAUUAUUUUUACAAGGAACUAUAUAUAAGCUAGCAUAUAAUUAUCCUUCUGUUCGUAGAUCUGUAUCUUCAUAAUAAAAAAAUUUUGCCCAAGUCCUAUUUCCUUAGAAUCUGUGAUAGCAUUGAUAAGUUGAAAGGAAAAUUAAAUCAAUAAAGGCCUUUGAUACCUU
rnacentral:sRNA from 1 species